GAGCUCGUAGGCGGUUUGUCGCGUCUGGUGUGAAAACUCAAGGCUCAACCUUGAGCUUGCAUCGGGUACGGGCAGACUAGAGUGUGGUAGGGGUGACUGGAAUUCCUGGUGUAGCGGUGGAAUGCGCAGAUAUCAGGAGGAACACCGAUGGCGAAGGCAGGUCACUGGGCCACUACUGACGCUGAGGAGCGAAAGCAUGGGGAGCGAACAGGAUUAGAUACCCUGGUAGUCCAUGCCGUAAACGUUGGGCACUAGGUGUGGGGCUCAUUCCACGAGUUCCGCGCCGCAGCUAACGCAUUAAGUGCCCCGCCUGGGGAGUACGGCCGCAAGGCUAAAACUCAAAGGAAUUGACGGGGGCCCGCACAAGCGGCGGAGCAUGCGGAUUAAUUCGAUGCAACGCGAAGAACCUUACCAAGGCUUGACAUACACCGGAAUCAUGCAGAGAUGUGUGCGUCUUCGGACUGGUGUACAGGUGGUGCAUGGUUGUCGUCAGCUCGUGUCGUGAGAUGUUGGGUUAAGUCCCGCAACGAGCGCAACCCUCGUCCUAUGUUGCCAGCACGUUAUGGUGGGGACUCAUAGGAGACUGCCGGGGUCAACUCGGAGGAAGGUGGGGAUGACGUCAAAUCAUCAUGCCCCUUAUGUCUUGGGCUUCACGCAUGCUACAAUGGCCGGUACAAAGGGCUGCGAUACCGCGAGGUGGAGCGAAUCCCAAAAAGCCGGUCUCAGUUCGGAUUGGGGUCUGCAACUCGACCCCAUGAA
rnacentral:rRNA from 1 species